rnacentral:rRNA from 1 species
GAUGAACGCUGGCGGCGUGCCUAAUACAUGCAAGUCGAACGCAUUGUGGUUGAAAUGAUAUGAAGAACUUGUUCAGAUUUGAUUUUCAACAUUGCAAUGAGUGGCGAACGGGUGAGUAACACGUGGGAAACCUACCUCUUAGCAGGGGAUAACAUUUGGAAACAAAUGCUAAUACCGUAUAAUAAUUAAAACCGCAUGGUUUUAGUUUAAAAGAUGGUCUUGCUAUCACUAAGAGAUGGUCCCGCGGUGUAUUAGUUAGUUGGUGAGGUAAUGGCUCACCAAGACAAUGAUACAUAGCCGAGUUGAGAGACUGACCGGCCACAAUGGGACUGAGACACGGCCCAUACUCCUACGGGAGCAGCAGUAGGGAAUCUUCCACAAUGGACGAAAGUCUGAUGGAGCAACGCCGCGUGUGUGAUGAAGGGUUUCGGACUCGUAAAACACUGUUGUAAAGAGAAGAAUGACAUUGAGAGUAACUGUUCAAUGUGUGA